rnacentral:ribozyme from 1 species
UUUUUUUUUUUUUUUUUUUUUUUUUUUUUUUUUUA